rnacentral:precursor_RNA from 10 species
UAAACAAAUUCAAGUCUUGGUAAUUGGAAUCGGUCAAUACCAGAUGCAAAUCAAGUUCAAUGUUGCAUUGCACUGUUAUUGAUCUAGUUCCCAUUCAUCAAAUGUUCAACACACCAAU